AACGAACGCUGGCGGCAUGCCUAACACAUGCAAGUCGAACGAGACCUUCGGGUCUAGUGGCGCACGGGUGCGUAACGCGUGGGAAUCUGCCCUUGGGUUCGGAAUAACAGUUAGAAAUGGCUGCUAAUACCGGAUAAUGUCUUCGGACCAAAGAUUUAUCGCCCAGGGAUGAGCCCGCGUAGGAUUAGCUAGUUGGUGAGGUAAAGGCUCACCAAGGCGACGAUCCUUAGCUGGUCUGAGAGGAUGAUCAGCCACACUGGGACUGAGACACGGCCCAGACUCCUACGGGAGGCAGCAGUGGGGAAUAUUGGGACAAUGGGCGAAAGCCUGAUCCAGCAAUGCCGCGUGAGUGAUGAAGGCCUUAGGGUUGUAAAGCUCUUUUACCCGGGAUGAUAAUGACAGUACCGGGAGAAUAAGCCCCCGGCUAACUCCGUGCCAGCAGCCGCGGUAAU
rnacentral:rRNA from 1 species